GAUGAACGCUGGCGGCGUGCCUAAUACAUGCCAGUCGAGCGAACGGACGAGAAGCUUGCUUCUCUGAUGUUAGCGGCGGACGGGUGAGUAACACGUGUAUAACCUACCUAUAAGACUGGGAUAACUUCGGGAAACCGGAUCUAAUACCGGAUAAUAUUUUGAACCGCAUUGUUCAAAAGUGAAAGACGGUCUUGCUGUCACUUAUAGAUGGAUCCGCGCUGCAUUAGCUAGUUGGUAAGGUAACGGCUUACCAAGGCAACGAUGCAUAUCCGAACUGAGAGGGUGAUCGGCGAAACUGGAACGGAGACACGGGACAGACUACUACGGGAGGAAGCAGUAGGGAAUGUUCCGCAAUGGGCGAAAGCAUGACGGAGCAACGCCGCGUGAGUGAUGAAGGUCUUCGGAUCGUAAAACUCUGUUAUUAGGGAAGAACAUAUGUGUAAGUAACUGUGCACAGCUUGACGGUACCUAAUCAGAAAGCCACGGCUAACUACGUG
rnacentral:rRNA from 1 species